rnacentral:rRNA from 1 species
AUUGAACGCUGGCGGCAUGCUUUACACAUGCAAGUCGAACGGUAACAGGCCUUCGGGUGCUGACGAGUGGCGAACGGGUGAGUAAUGCAUCGGAACGUGCCCAGAGGUGGGGGAUAACGCAGCGAAAGCUGUGCUAAUACCGCAUGUGAUCUGAGGAUGAAAGCGGGGGACCAGGUAGCAAAGUUUGGCCUCGCGCCUUUGGAGCGGCCGAUGUCAGAUUAGGUAGUUGGUGGGGUAAAGGCCUACCAAGCCGACGAUCUGUAGCUGGUCUGAGAGGACGACCAGCCACAUUGGGACUGAGACACGGCCCAGACUCCUACGGGAGGCAGCAGUGGGGAAUUUGAGACAAUGGGCGGAAGCCUGAUCCAGCAAUGCCGCGUGCGGGAAGAAGGCCUUCGGGUUGUAAACCGCUUUUGUGCGGAACGAAAAGGCUCUGGCUAAUACCUGGGGCUGAUGACGGUACCGUAAGAAUAAGCACCGGCUAACUACGUG